UUCAAUAUAACAAUAUCCAGUUAAGCUACAGUCAAUGCUGAUAUUGUGUGUUUGUGUGGGUUCAGAAUGUGCCCAGAGGAGAAGGGCACAGUAUGGCAUCUGAGCAGAUCAUCAUGAACUUCAUCCAGCUGCAUCAGCCAAUACAGACCAUUCACACAGUCCAGUCACUCAGCACUAUCCAGAAUCUCUCAAAGUCCUACACUACUUCUUUCUCCUACAACACCCUGACGAGAAACAAAAAGUCUGGCCCCAUGACUUUAGCUCACUCUGAUGGUAUGUAGGCUGGUUGAUGGCACCUACAGGCCUGUUUGAGGGACAGCUGGACAGAACAUAUCAAAAUGCUUGGACCUCGGCUGAGACCCUCCUCUCCUUCCCUGUCUUUCAAGGAAAACCCCUUCUUUACACUUCCUGUUUGGCAUGAUGCUCUCAAGGAUACGGGAAGUUGCUUUGCUGUUGGCACCAAUCCCACCACGCUGCCAGACAACAUCAACAACUUUAUCCCCCUCAACCUAAACUUUACUAACUCUUGUUCAACUGCUCUUAAAUCAGUUUAAUUAAAUGUUUACAUUUGC